CGAAAAAAGACAAAAGACUGAAUGAAUUCUGUAACAUCUUAUUAAAUAGUUUUAGGAACAGAGAAUAAAACAUUUUGUUGCUACAAUUAGUUUACACAAUUUAUCUUCCAGAAUGUUUAGCAAACUGUACUCCAUUAAAUAUACACUUUUUUUUUUAAACAUCUGUUUAAAGUUUUCAGCUUGUUCUUUGAUUUGUACUAAUAAUGUGUUAACAUGGACAGAAAGCAACGUUAGAGUAAAAAAAUACAAUAUGUAAAAGGUCCUAACCAACAAAAGGAUUCCACCAAAACACAGAUUCAAAAUGGGAUCAAAAUGUAUUUACUUUUUAAAUAAAAAGUACAAGAUGGUGCGCUUUCCAGCAUGAUUUAAGAUUAAAAGGUAUGAUUUUGUUUCUUACAAAUAUCUGCUUGCAAAAACAUAAAAACAAUGUAUAAAAAACAAAAACAUUGAAAAAGAUAAAACACUUAAUACACAGAAGUAUAUGCUUCAGGUAGCGCCCCCUUCAAAAUAACUGAAAGGGAUUGAUGUCUUUGUGUUACACACCUUAAGGCCGCCUUCUUAAGAGCCAUCUGUUGGUUAAACUGACGUGAAGCCAAAAAAAACCAACAGUUUUAACUGUAACUCGACUGAUUCUGUAACAACUACAAUGAGUACAGAAUGCUGAAAUAAUAAAGUACGAUAAAAACUGGAGGGUAAAUGUUAAAAUCAAGUAGAGGCUGCCUUUAGGCACAGAGAUAUCUGAUGUUCAUCUUGAGGUUAAGUGAUGAGGCAGGUUCACUCAGCUGCCAAAACUCCAACAAGGCUCUUAAUGAGGCAGCCAGCCGGUGUCUCCUCCCGCAUCCAGAACACAUCAACAGUAGGAAUUCCCGGUGAGAAAACCAGGUACACUAAAUAUGAGAGGACACCAAUAUAUUUUCACUGCAGGGAAGGGGAGAUAGAGAGUUUGUGUGGAGAGAGGAGAGACUGUGUGAUGGGAGAAGUAAGUGCUGGUUGGAUGAACAUGAUAUGACACAGAAAACGUCGUUGCAUGUGAUCAUCAUGUGUGCAUGUACUGAAGAAUCCACUGGGACAGGUGCCAAACCGACUGCGGCUGCUGUCUGACGUCUACUCGAUCAUCGCCGGGUCCUGGAGGAAGGUCGCAGUGAAGGCAGGGAGGUCAAAACAUCAGCCGGCGCGCCAGCAACGACGCCGCUCAUUUUACCAACGCUGCUCUGUAUUUACAGCUAUCCAGAUCCUGAGCACAGCCAACUUUAGACAAUGACAUUUUAGAUUUAUAUACAUUUUUUUUUAACACAUCAGUGGUCUCCAAAUAGCCUCUUUUGUGACUUGAGCGCUCCGUAUGUUUCUCACCAUCUACCCAGGAUGAUCAUUAAAUGGGGUGGGACCAACAUUUAAAUCCAACAUUUCCACAUAAAUACUGCAUUUUGUGACCUGAUUAGGGAUUUCAGCUCUAGAACCAAUGCAAAUGUUUGCAUUUUACUAUAUUGCAUAUUGCGUUUUGAUAGAUGUAAGUAAAAAUUCCGGCAUUAACUGAAAUCUAGUAUGAGCUCCUUUCUCCACUACCUAAUAAAGGCAUAAUAAAAAAUUAAAAAUCUGCGACUCUACAUGACAAAAAAGAAAAUUUUAGGACUAUUUUGGUAACAUUAGUGGUAAAUAUGAUGAAAGCAGAUUUAACAUCUCACUUAAGCUCCUGUUCAGGAUACAAAGAUUGGUUUAAUGCUGGUCUGUCAGUAUAGUACUACAGGCUUCGCUAAAAUCAUAACAAUAUGGGCUAAAUGAUUUUGGAAAAACAUCUAAUUGCAUUUUUUUCUGACAGAUAUUGUGACUGCAAUCAGAUUUUCAGUACAUUUAUUUAAAAGUGAAGCUUCAGUUCAAUAUAAACUCAGUAACAGUUUUGAAAUCAUGAGCUACUGUCAAAAGCUAAUGGUCACUCAAGGAGUACGCCAUGAAUUUGUAAAAUCGUUGACCCAACAGUAGAAAUGUUGGUUUACACACCCUGCAUGAAUACAUAUCCUCAUCUGCAUUGUUUCUAUCUGUGAUUUACGAUUAAUUACUCAGUCCUACACCAUAGUCUGUGGAAAUAUUGGAUUUGAACCUUGGGUUUGUCCUGAGCAAACAUCUGUAAUAUUACAUAUGUAGAAAAAAUACUUUUAAAGAUGCAAUUUACUGCUGGAUAAAAGGUGAGAAAAUGUUAAAUGUGACCGAAUCAUAAGAGUCUCAGUGGGGAAGUCAUAAUGCAGCUAAAGCUUGACAUACUCUGAGAUACUAAUGGUCAACAAUAUACAGUCACAAAGCAUUUUAGCCACUCGUCUUCAGGCCAUUAAACAACAAAAAAAAUGUUCUUACUUGACUAUAAAACUGGAAAAGCACAAUAGUGACAUUUUAGGGUUCCAGGUUAAUGAGCAUUACUCACUCAGACCCUGAUCUUCUUGGCACCUUUACAUGUGCAAACAGUACUUGUAGUAAAAAGGCCCUGAAAUGGAGAUUUGACUAAACUAUCCAGUUCAACAUCUGUAAGUGUUUUUUUCUCUUGCUUUAAAAACAACACGAUAUUAAUGGAAUGAAAUUGAAGCAGCUUACAUCGUACAACAGUAACUACUUUUAAAAGCUGUCAUCACCAGGUGAGUUUCUAAAAGCACCAACUGCAGCUGAGGCCGAAUGCAGGAGCAGCGGCUAGAUAACUGCCACACUUGUUUUAACAGGGCAUAAAUGAGUAAAAUAAUAAAUAUACUUUCAACAUUGUGCAAGAGACACAUAAACCUGCUUCUAGCAAUCAUUAAACAACUUUCUUCUCAUAAAUAAAUAAAUAGCUUCAACAAAAGAGAUAAAAAGGGAGAAAUUUGGGGUGAGACUAAUUUCCAAACUAAAGUUUCUCAGUAGCAACAAAAGCCAAGCUUAAAGAAAAGUUUUGGUAUAUGAGGACACAGAAAAGUCAGAAGAAAAAAAAAAGAGCUUUUAAGCAUUUUGGUUUAGUAAAAGUCUCAGCUGGGCUAAAUAUUUAGCAGUUGUGCGGCUCUUUGUUUCUACAAUUUUCCUUGAUUAUACUGUUGCAAACUCUUCUAUGGUAACUUUUAAACUGCUGCUUUUCAAUUAAAGCAGCAGAGGCACACAGUGUGGUCAAAUAAAAGAUUCACUCUUCAGCGUUUUAGGCUGCUGAUGCUCUGAAGCUGUGCGUCACUCCGCCGAACCAGCUGCCACAGCUUGAAAUACGACAGACAUGAGCAGUAACAAAUACCUCCAGUAAACGAAUUGCAGAGGGAUGAGAGUGAGAGGAGAUGACUGAGGAUGGGAGGAGGAAUGCGAGGGAAAGUCAUCAACACCAUCAAAUAUGUGACAACUGUCAGCAGCAGACAUGAUCGGCUGAUGCAAGAACACAUUAGUG
ensembl:lncRNA